UUCGGCCUUAGUGGCGCACGGGUGAGUAACGCGUGGGAACCGGCCCUUGAGUGGGGGAUAACCUCGGGAAACUGAGGCUAAUACCGCAUAUGCCCUGAGGGGCAAAGACGCAAGUCGCUUGAGGAAGGGCCCGCGCCCGAUUAGGUAGUUGGUGUGGUAAAGGCGCACCAAGCCGACGAUCGGUAGCUGGUCUGAGAGGAUGAUCAGCCACACUGGGACUGAGACACGGCCCAGACUCCUACGGGAGGCAGCAGUGGGGAAUAUUGGACAAUGGGCGCAAGCCUGAUCCAGCCAUGCCGCGCGAGUGAAGAAGGCCUUCGGGUUGUAAAGCUCUUUCAGCGGGGACGAUGAUGACGGUACCCGCAGAAGAAGCCCCGGCUAACUUCGUGCCAGCAGCCGCGGUAAUACGAAGGGGGCUAGCGUUGU
rnacentral:rRNA from 1 species